rnacentral:lncRNA from 8 species
AUGAAAGCCUUUGGGUUUGGGGAUGUUUUUUUGUCGUGGAUGAAUUUACUGUAUGCUGGGGCCUCGUGUAUGGUGAAGGUGGGGGGUGGUUUGAGCUGCCCCAUCCCUGUCCAAAGGGGCAUCAGGCAGGGAUGCCCAAUUUCAGGGCAGUUAUACAGUCUGGCGAUUGAACCAAUGCUUUGUUUUUUAAGAGCGAGGCUUACUGGUUUCUCUGUGCCAGGUGUAAUGAAGGGUCCCACGAUAGCGCUGUCUGCAUAUGCAGGUGACGUGACAGUUUUUAUUACAGGGGCUGAGGAUGUUAAGGUUCUCUCAAACGCUCUAAAGGUGUAUGAGGGGGCCUCCUCAGCUAGAGUCAAUUGGGGAAAGAGUGAAGUGCUGUGGGCAAGUCAGCUUCAGAUGGGGUCUGCUCCACGGUUACCAGGGGGGCUUCAGUGGGGCAGAGAUGGGAUGAAGACUGGGGUUUUUCUAGGCUCUGAUGUCUUUCAGAAAAAGAACUGGGAGGGUGUAGUGGAGAAAGUGUGUGCCAGACUGUCAAGAUGGAAAUGGGUGCUGCCUCAGCUGUCUUAUAGGGGAAGGGUAUUGGUAGCUAAUAAUCUUGCUGCUUCUACCCUGUGGCACAGACUAAUGAUUUUACAGCCACCAAAGGGUCUGAUUCAAGAGCUUCAGAGUACCCUUGUCAAUUUCUUCUGGUCUGGACAACACUGGAUAAAAGCUGCAGCUCUGUACCUGCCACUACACGAGGGUGGGCAAGGCUUGGUGGAUAUUUCCUCUAGGAUCAUGGCUUUCCGGCUUCAUGCAGCCCAGAGGCUGUUGUACAGAGACGGUUCUAGCUGGGUCGACACAGCCUAUAUAUUGAUGAGGAGAGUGGGCUGUUUGGGCUUAUAUAAGCACCUUUUCCUCUUAAAGCUGGAGGGGGGUGAUUUGCCUGGCCUGACUCCAUUUUAUGAGUCUGUUAUGCAGGCUUGGAGAGUUUUUGUCAAGUCCCGUAAGGCCGGCACGCCACCAGGGAUGUGGCUUUUUGAAGAGCCUCUUUUUCACAACACUGCCAUCCAGUCCCGUGUUCUGGGUUCAGCUAGCCUACGUUCAUGCCUGUUAGGCGUGGGGUGUACUAAACUGGGUCAUCUGAUGCGGAACAGGAAUAGAUCGUUGGAGGAGCUGGGAGAAAGAGCGGGGAUCCAAUCAUCUCGCCUACUGAGGAAGGUCGUCGCUGAGGUCUGUGACUCCCUGCCAGUGCUUCAUCUGCAGUAUGUGACUGACAUUUCCAAUUCUGAUCGGUGGAAGGAGGGUCUGGAUUAUGUGUUCNNNNNNNNNNNNNNNNNNNNAUGUGUAAAGGUGUCCCAUGCCUCUUCCCUGGAAGGGGUAAAAUCGACGAGGUGGGCGGGUGUGCUUGGUCCAGGUGUCUCUCCAAAAGGCUGUUGGCGAUCAAUAUACAAACUGCCUAUUGAUAAGAGGACAGCUGACCUCCAAUGGAGGAUAGUACACGGAGCUAUAGCCACUAACAUGCAUCUGGUACACCUGGACCCUACUGUUGGGGAGGGGUGUCCAUUUUGUGCGGAGUCUGAAACUCUGGCACAUCUGUUUUUACAGUCUCCCAGGUUGGUCGGGAUGAUUUACCUGAUCACAAAUUGGUUCUCAACGUUGGGAGAAGUUUUUUCUUCCCAACUGUAUAUAUUUGGGCCAAAGUACAGGUUCAGUCGAAAGGGUGUAGUUGUGUUACUUAAUUUUGUGUUAGGGGCAGCUAAAUUAGCGAUAUGGAAGACCCGAAAGAACAGUAUUCGGGGACAGGGGUCUGUGGAUGUGGUGGGAAUGCUGGAGGGAAUGUUGGCAGCGAGACUGAGGGUUGAGUUUGCCUAUUAUAAACUGGUCAACAAUAUUGAUCUGUUUUAUGAGUAUAUGGGGUAUUCAGAGGCUGUUGUGUAUAGUUACUGUGGAGGAGGAAUUGGAGUUGUGUUUUUAAUUGAUGUGUAA